GAUGAAGGCUAGGAAAGAUGGACUGCUAUAAGGAACCUGUCCUUCAUUUAUCUCCGGAGUCUACGUGCAUGGUGCUAAACCGCUUCCUCACCGCCCGUCCUCACCACCACCUGCGAGUGCGGUGGGAGGCGCCCGGAACCAUCUCUCCGAGGCCUCACCGGGGUCCUGAGCACUUGCAAAACCCACACCAGGCUCAGGACGAAUGAGGACGCCCAGGCGCCCCCGAAAUUCCACCCUCUCUGCUUCUAAUGCCAUCUCCUCCCCGCAGCCUCCACAAUAAUGGACACAUUUUCAGCUUCCUCAGGUCAGGCAACUUAUCAGAGAGAGCCGGGCGGCCUCACGCAGAGCUGCGAGUGAGUCAGCUGCGCUCGCUCGGCGCCAGCACAUCAC
rnacentral:lncRNA from 1 species